rnacentral:rRNA from 1 species
UACGAAGGGUGCAAACGUUGCUCGGAAUUAUUGGGCGUAAAGCGCACGUAGGCGGCUUUGCAAGUCGGAUGUGAAAUCCCUCGGCUUAACCAAGGAAGUGCAUCCGAAACUGCAGAGCUUGAGUACUUAAGAGGAUCGCGGAAUUCCCGGUGUAGAGGUGAAAUGCGUAGAUAUCUGGAGGAACACCGGUGGCGAAGGCGGCAUCCUGGACCGAUAUUGACGCUGAGGCGCGAAAGCCAGGGGAGCAAACGGG